GUACUUUAUAAUGAAGUUCUUUGA
rnacentral:snRNA from 1 species